UAUGGUCGCUAUUCCGAUGAGU
rnacentral:siRNA from 1 species